rnacentral:rRNA from 1 species
CGACGUGAGCAAUCUGCCUUGGAGUGGGGAAUAACGGUUGGAAACAGCCCCUAAUACCGCAUGAUGCGUCUGGGAGGCAUCUCUCUGGACGCCAAAGAUUUAUCGCUCUGAGAUGAGCUCGCGUCUGAUUAGCUAGUUGGCGGGGCAACGGCCCACCAAGGCGACGAUCAGUAGCCGGACUGAGAGGUUGGCCGGCCACAUUGGGACUGAGACACGGCCCAGACUCCUACGGGAGGCAGCAG